UACGGAGGGGGCUAGCGUUGUUCGGAAUUACUGGGCGUAAAGCGCACGUAGGCGGCUUUGUAAGUUAGAAGUGAAAGCCCGGGGCUCAACUCCGGAAUUGCCUUUAAGACUGCAUCGCUAGAAUUGUGGAGAGGUAAGUGGAAUUCCGAGUGUAGAGGUGAAAUUCGUAGAUAUUCGGAAGAACACCAGUGGCGAAGGCGACUUACUGGACACAUAUUGACGCUGAGGUGCGAAAGCGUGGGGAGCAAACAGG
rnacentral:rRNA from 1 species